CAACAAUAUUAUUAUUUUAAGUCUUACAGUUAGCGUCUGUAAGCUAUAUAUAGCCACCGAAAAUCAAGGGAAAGCCAACUUCCUAUUUUACAAAAUUGGAUAGCAUAUUAGUUGGAGUCUACUUUUUGCUAUACAAAUUCUAAAAUAGCAUAAACAACAAGAAUAGUUAAACUCUUGAAGUUGCUCUAAGCCUAGUAGAACAACUAGUAUCGGCAUCUAUUUUUUAUUCUUCAAAGUAAGAAUUGAAGGUUUCGUUUUCUUUUUUUUGUUGCGUUCUGAUUUUUUUUAAAGAAAUGUUGUAUUAUGUUCUUCUAACAUAGAUAAAAAAAUUUAUAUAUACUUUGACUAUUACCAGGGGCGACACUAGGCUCACUUUGCCUGAUGCCUUAUUUCCAGGAUAAACAAAUAUUUUAUCUAGCAUAUAUUUUAAGAAAAUUAUAUGUACUACUUGAGCUGUGCAUCAGGAUCAAUUUUGUAUUGAUUUUGUCCCCUAUUACUAUUGCACAUAUAUAUUGAAAAUUUUUUAUACGUGGAAUACCCAGCUGCGAAAUCCUGGCUCCGCCACUGACCCCAAAUGUUUUCGCUGGAAUGCUUGAUUAAGAUCGAAACGAAGUGCGCAUGGACAGCUUGUUAAAACCCAUGUAUUUGUUGGGUUCUCUGUGCACUAGCAACAGUUCACUGAAACUUUACACUGUUAGGCAAAGAUGAUAUAUAAUUCCUCUAUUUUAAAUUAUAGGAUGUUUUUUUAUUUUUCUAGAUAAAUAGUUUUUUAUGAACUUAGAUAUAUACUAUAUCUAGAUAUAUAGGAAAACAAUGCAUCUUUAAAAAUCAAAACAUCUUAUGAUCAUUUUCCAUCACUUUGCAUUUACCGCCUCACUUCGUAUCAAAACUCUGUCCUGUAUCCGAUACCAUAUUAAACUAUAUUGGAUUAUACAUAGGCUGUGAAAAGGUUGAAUGUUCUAUUUGGUUGGUGCAUAGCUUUAUCAUAACUACUACCUCUCCGUCAUGAAAAGAAUGAGUAU
rnacentral:lncRNA from 1 species